rnacentral:lncRNA from 1 species
CUCACUGUGAAACACAUUAGUAUUGAUUUUCGCCAGAUUUUGCUUCCUUGUGCCUGGACCAGUUUUGCGGCUCCCUGUAGAUCGUCCCUUUGGAACAGCUGCUUGCCACCCCUCAUCAGAUGCGUACUCUUCAGUAAAAUCAUCUUGAGGUAUGUGGUUUGCAGUGUCACUUGGUAUUUCAUCUUUCACUUUCACAUGCUCAACAAAGGUUCCAUUCUCUUUGACUCCAGAGUCUUCCUUCUCAGUUAAUAAAUUAUCAUUGUUAGGUGGAGGGCUCCUUUGAUCUUCAUCGUCGACUAGGUCAGAUGGGUUUUGCCCAGUGCGGCCUUUGAUCUAUGAUUCAUAAUGCGCAUGUAUGAGAAUGACCAUUGAAGGAAUAUAAAUGUAAUAUGCUCUCAGUGGAAGACCCU